ACGCUCGACACCUACGGGAGGCAGCAGUGGGGAAUAUUGCACAAUGGGGGAAACCCUGAUGCAGCGACGCCGCGUGAGCGAAGAAGUAUUUCGGUAUGUAAAGCUCUAUCAGCAGGGAAGAAAAUGACGGUACCUGACUAAGAAGCACCGGCUAAAUACGUACCAGCAGCCGCGGUAAUCUGAGCGGGCUGGCAAGGC
rnacentral:rRNA from 1 species